UACAGAGGUCUCAAGCGUUGUUCGGAUUCAUUGGGCGUAAAGGGUGUGUAGGUGGCGCGCUAAGUCGGGUGUGAAAUUUCGGAGCUUAACUCCGAAACUGCAUUCGAUACUGGCGUGCUUGAGGACUGGAGAGGAGAUUGGAAUUCAUGGUGUAGCAGUGAAAUGCGUAGAGAUCAUGAGGAAGACCAGUGGCGAAGGCGGGUCUCUGGACAGUUCCUGACACUGAGACACGAAGGCCAGGGGAGCAAACGGG
rnacentral:rRNA from 1 species